UGUCUGCUAAUUUUUCGUUUUUCCGUGUCCAACAUUUGACUAUUCGUCUUAUUUAAAAAAUUGUAUAAAAACUUUAAAAAAUUAGUCACGUAUAAAGUAUUAUUCAUAUUUUAUUAUCUAGUAAUAAUAAAAAUAUUAAUCGUAAAAAAAUUUCAAAUAAGACGAAUGGUCAAAUGUUGGACACGGAAAAAC
rnacentral:pre_miRNA from 1 species